AAUCAAUCUUUAGAGCAGGUAUCAGCAAUCAGUUAAUUUAUUGCAUCUUAUCACCAGUUUGUAACUUAUCUCUAAUAAUGUACUUUUAGUGAUUGUUAUUGCACUUACUUUAUCUUUUUUUUUUUUACUCUUUUUGGAAAUGUUUCACUCUUUGUUGUAUUUUUUUGUACUUGGUAAGAUAAACUCACUCACAGUUUUUUCCGAUGUUAUUUGACACUCUGU